UAUUUUGAUAGAGGUUGCGUGCUUUAAGAGUAGUUUUCCGGAUGUGACAGGCACAGGGGAAGGGAAGCAAAAGGAAAGCAUGCCGAAAGAGCAAGGCACCUGCUGCCCUGGUUCUUGGGCAUAAAGCUAAGAACUUUAUGACUGUCAUCUUUGCAGAUGGGGCGCUAUCGGUUCU
rfam:Roseburia hominis A2-183, complete genome.